rnacentral:misc_RNA from 1 species
ACCACGACGAAUCGAAGCAUGAUCAUAUGAACUCAAAAUGCCCUGGUGAGGCCACGGGUAGCUUGGACACUCCAAACCAUGUUCUGCCUCAUCAGCAGAUGCCAAAGUUGCAAAACUGAAAAACCCUGAAAUGCCUGCUCCAAGAAGAGCCAGCCUUCUAAAGGAGUUCAUCCCAGCAAAGCCAGCUUCCUGAUUCUUUGAAAUAAGGGAUGAGGUCAAUGGAGGGGUUGAAGAUUGAGAUGGAAAUUUCCUCAGCAACUGCCG